GGCGUUGGAGAGGGGCGGGGCGGCCGUCAGGAGGUGGGAGACGCCCGUCUGGAAGCGUCGCCUCGCGAAAAGUGGGCGCCCGGAUGUGUGUGCGCUCCCUUUCCUUUUGAAGUGAUCCCCAUACACGAGGUUGUGGAAGAGGAUCGUGGAGACGCGGGGAGGAGUGUCUGA
rnacentral:lncRNA from 1 species